GUUUUGUCUUCUCCGUUCCUUUCCUUCGCGGCCACCCCUCUCUUACAGAGGAAAACCUGCGAUUUUUCUUCUCAUCUCCAAUCUUGGCCGUCGAUCAUUCCCUUGAGGUCCAUCGAACUCGAUCCUAGCCGUUAGAUCUUGCGAUGGCGGAGCACUUGGCGUCGAUCUUCGGGACAGAGAAGGAUCGGGUGAACUGCCCUUUCUACUUCAAGAUCGGGGCGUGCAGGCACGGUGAUCGGUGCUCGAGGCUCCAUACUCGGCCGAGCAUCAGCCCUACGCUGCUGCUCUCGAACAUGUAUCAGAGGCCUGAUAUGGUGACACCUGGCGUGGACCCUCAGGGCCAGGCCAUGGAUCCCCGCAAGAUCCAGGAGCACUUCGAGGAUUUCUAUGAGGAUCUGUUUGAGGAGCUGAGCAAAUAUGGGGAGAUUGAGAGCCUGAAUAUCUGUGACAAUUUGGCUGAUCACAUGGUGGGAAAUGUGUAUGUUCAGUUUAGAGAGGAAGAACAUGCUGCAAAUGCGCUCCGAAAUUUGAGUGGAAGAUUUUAUGCAGGGCGUCCCAUUAUUGUUGACUUCUCCCCAGUGACGGAUUUCCGGGAAGCAACAUGCAGGCAAUAUGAAGAAAACACGUGCAACCGAGGCGGCUAUUGCAAUUUCAUGCAUCUGAAAAAGAUUAGCAGAGAGCUGAGACGGCAACUAUUUGGACGGUACCGACGUAGGCACAGUCGCAGCCACAGCAGAAGCCGCAGCCCCUACAGGCAUCGCAGCCAUGAAGAACGCUCCCACGGUGGCCGUGGUCAUGGGAGGCGUUACGAUGAGAAGGACAACUACCUUGAAGAUCGGAGGAGGGCCAGGAGCCGUAGCCCUGGACGAAACCGAAGGGGACGAAGCAGGAGCCCUGGGGGAAAGCGGAAUAGGAGCCCAGUUAGGGAAGGCAGUGCUGAGAGGCGGGCUAAAAUCGAGCAAUGGAACAGGGAAAAAGAACAGGCAGAGUCAGGUCAUAAGAAUAGCAAUGCUGCUAAUGAUAAUAAUGCUGACAGCACUGGUUACACACAAAAUGGAGGGCAGUACUAUGAGCAGCAGCAGCAACAGCAAGGAGGAUCUGGUUACUGAGCAGUGCCUGGUGGUGUGCAGGUCCACUGUUCUGUGAUAUGGGAUGUAAAAAAGUGUUUUCUUUUUCUUUUUUGUCUUCACCACUGCAGCAGUCCCCCACUCAUAUUCCUUGCAUGCUUGUUUUUUAAACUAACAACCUUCCCAUCUUUGGCUGCCUUGAGCAAAUCGAGUGUCCUUUUCUUGCUCCUAUAUUUCAAAACCAUGGCGCUUUCUUUUUCCUGGUUUGAUGUUUUAUUGAACCAAAAUAUCUUAGCAAUAUUAUUAGAAUGUCUUAGAACAGGUUAAAGCGCUUGAUACAUUGGAAAAGAAAAUUGUGAAAUUUUGUAUUUUUAGUAAAAGCCCCAACGUUUCAAAGAUCUCUUGAUUCCAACAAGAGCAAAUCUCUCCAAGAUUUCUGCAUAUUGAAAAAGGAGGUUUGCUAGCAUUGCUUGCCCUUGUUGUUUGCCACCUAUCAGUCCUAUGCCUCACUAGUCACUACAUCACGGUUUUAAAAAGCGGUUACGAUACUGGUCCCCACCAUUUUAUGUUACGGUGAAAUGGGUGAAUGUGCUGACUGGAAAAAAGGGCUGUAUCAGCCUGUAUUUACUGAUAGCAUGUGAUACAGGCCAGGUCUGAUAUGGUCAUGAGGGCACUAGUGUUUUUUGUUUUUUUUUUUUUUUUUUUUUUUCUGCUUUUAUUUUAUGUUUCUCUUUCUUUCUUUUUUCUUCAUAUUAACCCUUAAGGAAGCUUUAGAAGCUUAUUUUAGACUAGAUCUAGUUCUAUGCCUGUUUUGGGAAUCAAACACAACAUUUGAGAGGGACUUGAUGAAUCAAAGUGGAAUGGGGCAUUUUGGGGAAAGAUCGAUGAAAGGGUUCAGGUAUCCCUGCUUCUAAAGGAUCGAGCCUCAUUUUUAUGUGAGCUUAUCUGAAAAUUUGUGUACAGGUAGUUGAUGGGUGGGUGUGGCUGCCUUCUCUCUCGGAACUGAGUUUACAGGAUUCACAGAAGGCUUGGGCAGGGUGCGUUGCAUUUUACAGGAUUCACAGGGCUGUCUUUACAGACGCAGGUGAGGUUUUUGAGAUAAUGUAUAUUCAUUCACCCUUCUGUAGGUGGUUUUGUUCUUGUCUGACAGUCUUAGACUAAAGCUUUCAAAACCAUUUGAGUUUGGUUUGCUGUUAAACAAUGGCUUGUUUUCCAGAGCUUUAUAUGCACUGUUUGGUUAAAUUAUAGAAAUAUCUGAGCAACUGUGUUUGGAUUGUUACUAAUGCGGCUGGCGAGCAUAUUUCCUUUGUUUAUGAAUUCUUUGUUGCA